rnacentral:rRNA from 1 species
UACGUAGGGGGGCGAGCGUUGUCCGGAGUUACUGGGCGUAAAGCGCACGCAGGCGGUCUGGUAAGUUUGGAGUGACAGUGCCCGGCUCAACUGGGCAAGGCCUCUGAAGACUGCUGGACUUGAGGACCAGAGAGGGACAUAGAAUUCCGGGUGGAGUGGUGAAUGCGUAGAUAGUCCGGAGGAAUACCAAAGGCGAAGGCAGUGUCCUGGCUGGUAACUGACGCUCAGGUGCGAAAGCUAGGGGAGCGAACAGG